rnacentral:rRNA from 1 species
UACAGAGGGUGCGAGCGUUAAUCGGAAUUACUGGGCGUAAAGCGCACGUAGUCGGCUUUGCAAGUCGGGUGUGAAAUCCCCGGGCUCAACCUGGGAACUGCAUCCGAGACUGCAUUGCUAGAGUAUGGGAGAGGGAAGCGGAAUUUCUGGUGUAGCAGUGAAAUGCGUAGAUAUCUGGAGGAACACCGGUGGCGAAGGCGGCGUCCUGGACCAACACUGACACUGAUGAGCGAAAGCCAGGGGAGCAAACGGG